AGUGAACGCUGGCGGCGUGCUUAACACAUGCAAGUCGAACGAGAACGGAAUAUAGCUUGCUAUAUUUGUCAGCUAAGUGGCGCACGGGUGAGUAAUGUAUAGAUAACCUGCCCUUAAGAAAGGAAUAACAGUAGGAAACGACUGCUAAUGCCCUAUAUGCCUUUAAUACAUAAGUAUGCAAGGGAAACGCUUUAGUGCUUAAGGAUGGGUCUGUAUGGUAUCAGCUUGUUGGUGAGGUAAUGGCUCACCAAGGCUAUGACGCCUAACUGGUUUGAGAGGAUGAUCAGUCACACUGGAACCGAGACACGGUCCAGACUCCUACGGGAGGCAGCAGUGGGGAAUAUUGCACAAUGGACGAAAGUCUGAUGCAGCAACGCCGCGUGGAGGAUGACACAUUUCGGUGCGUAAACUCCUUUUAUAUAGGAAGAUAAUGACGGUACUAUAUGAAUAAGCACCGGCUAACUCCGUGCCAGCCGCCGCAGUAA
rnacentral:rRNA from 1 species